UGUGAAUCUGUGUUUGUAUGUGUAAGGGCUGCAAGGUGUGUUUCUGUGUAUGUAAGGGAUGAAGUGUGUGAGUCUGUAAGGGGUGCAUUGAGUGUGUGUAAGGAAUGCAUUGUGUGUUUCUGUGUGUGCAAGGGAUGCAUUGUGUGUAAGGGUUGCAUUGCGUGUGUGUGUGUAAUGCAUUGUGUGUUUUUCUGUGUGCAAGGGGUUCAUUGUCUUUGUGUGUAAGGGGUGCAUUGUGUGUGAUUGUGUGUGUGAUGGAUGUCAAUCUCUCCCCCCUCCCUUGUCACUCUCUUCUCC
rnacentral:lncRNA from 1 species